UGGGGAAUUUUGGACAAUGGGCGCAAGCCUGAUCCAGCCAUGCCGCGUGAGUGAAGAAGGCCUUCGGGUUGUAAAGCUCUUUCGGCCGGGAAGAAAUCGUAUGGGUUAAUACCCUGUGCGGAUGACGGUACCGGCAUAAGAAGCACCGGCUAACUACGUGCCAGCAGCCGCGGUAAUACGUAGGGUGCGAGCGUUAAUCGGAAUUACUGGGCGUAAAGCGUGCGCAGGCGGUUUUGUAAGACAGGCGUGAAAUCCCCGGGCUCAACCUGGGAACUGCGUUUGUGACUGCAAGGCUAGAGUACGGCAGAGGGGGGUGGAAUUCCACGUGUAGCAGUGAAAUGCGUAGAGAUGUGGAGGAACACCAAUGGCGAAGGCAGCCCCCUGGGUCGAUACUGACGCUCAUGCACGAAAGCGUGGGUAGCAAACA
rnacentral:rRNA from 1 species